rnacentral:other from 1 species
GUUUAGCUGCGGUACUCGUGAAUCCAACUUAAUUCCAGAGGCCGAUAAUAGUUCGCAUUAGGGAUCUGUCCCUGACCGGAUCUUGGUUCGGUUAUAUGGAGCCCACCUGUUUUUCAGGGCCACAUGUGAAUUCCGUUUUGGACACGGUACUCGCGGCGCUUUA